GGGUUGUGAGGUUAAGCGACUAAGCGUACACGGUGGAUGCCCUGGCAGUCAGAGGCGAUGAAGGACGUGCUAAUCUGCGAUAAGCGCCGGUAAGGUGAUAUGAACCGUUAUAACCGGCGAUUUCCGAAUGGGGAAACCCAGUGUGACUCGUCACACUAUCAUUAACUGAAUCCAUAGGUUAAUGAGGCGAACCGGGGGAACUGAAACAUCUAAGUACCCCGAGGAAAAGAAAUCAACCGAGAUUCCCCCAGUAGCGGCGAGCGAACGGGGAGGAGCCCAGAGCCUGAAUCAGCAUGUGUGUUAGUGGAAGCGUCUGGAAAGGCGCGCGAUACAGGGUGACAGCCCCGUACACAAAAGCGCAUGUGCUGUGAGCUCGAUGAGUAGGGCGGGACACGUGGUAUCCUGUCUGAAUAUGGGGGGACCAUCCUCCAAGGCUAAAUACUCCUGACUGACCGAUAGUGAACCAGUACCGUGAGGGAAAGGCGAAAAGAACCCCGGCGAGGGGAGUGAAAAAGAACCUGAAACCGUGUACGUACAAGCAGUGGGAGCCCCACCACUAAGCCAGUGGUGAACUCCACAUACGCAUCCUUUGCUGAGGAUACGGUUAACGGAGCGAAAGCGACGUUCAACCGCAAAAGAAGCAGAGGGGGCUUAGUGGUGGGGUGACUGCGUACCUUUUGUAUAAUGGGUCAGCGACUUAUAUUCUGUAGCAAGGUUAACCGUAUAGGGGAGCCGGAGGGAAACCGAGUCUUAACCGGGCGUUAAGUUGCAGGGUAUAGACCCGAAACCCGGUGAUCUAGCCAUGGGCAGGUUGAAGGUUGGGUAACACUAACUGGAGGACCGAACCGACUAAUGUUGAAAAAUUAGCGGAUGACCUGUGGCUGGGGGUGAAAGGCCAAUCAAACCGGGAGAUAGCUGGUUCUCCCCGAAAGCUAUUUAGGUAGCGCCUCGUGAAUUCAUCUCCGGGGGUAGAGCACUGUUUCGGCUAGGGGGCCAUCCCGGCUUACCAACCCGAUGCAAACUGCGAAUACCGGAGAAUGUUAUCACGGGAGACACACGGCGGGUGCUAACGUCCGUCGUGAAGAGGGAAACAACCCAGACCGCCAGCUAAGGUCCCAAAGUCAUGGUUAAGUGGGAAACGAUGUGGGAAGGCCCAGACAGCCAGGAUGUUGGCUUAGAAGCAGCCAUCAUUUAAAGAAAGCGUAAUAGCUCACUGGUCGAGUCGGCCUGCGCGGAAGAUGUAACGGGGCUAAACCAUGCACCGAAGCUGCGGCAGCGACACUCAGGUGUUGUUGGGUAGGGGAGCGUUCUGUAAGCCUGUGAAGGUGGCCUGUGAGGGUUGCUGGAGGUAUCAGAAGUGCGAAUGCUGACAUAAGUAACGAUAAAGCGGGUGAAAAGCCCGCUCGCCGGAAGACCAAGGGUUCCUGUCCAACGUUAAUCGGGGCAGGGUGAGUCGACCCCUAAGGCGAGGCCGAAAGGCGUAGUCGAUGGGAAACGGGUUAAUAUUCCCGUACUUGGUGUUACUGCGAAGGGGGGACGGAGAAGGCUAUGUUGGCCGGGCGACGGUUGUCCCGGUUUAAGCGUGUAGGUGUGUGUUCCAGGUAAAUCCGGUUCACUUUAACACUGAGGCGUGACGACGAGGCACUACGGUGCUGAAGCAACAAAUGCCCUGCUUCCAGGAAAAGCCUCUAAGCAUCAGGUAACAUCAAAUCGUACCCCAAACCGACACAGGUGGUCAGGUAGAGAAUACCAAGGCGCUUGAGAGAACUCGGGUGAAGGAACUAGGCAAAAUGGUGCCGUAACUUCGGGAGAAGGCACGCUGACACGUAGGUGAAGUGAUUUACUCACGGAGCUGAAGUCAGUCGAAGAUACCAGCUGGCUGCAACUGUUUAUUAAAAACACAGCACUGUGCAAACACGAAAGUGGACGUAUACGGUGUGACGCCUGCCCGGUGCCGGAAGGUUAAUUGAUGGGGUCAGCGCAAGCGAAGCUCCUGAUCGAAGCCCCGGUAAACGGCGGCCGUAACUAUAACGGUCCUAAGGUAGCGAAAUUCCUUGUCGGGUAAGUUCCGACCUGCACGAAUGGCGUAAUGAUGGCCAGGCUGUCUCCACCCGAGACUCAGUGAAAUUGAACUCGCUGUGAAGAUGCAGUGUACCCGCGGCAAGACGGAAAGACCCCGUGAACCUUUACUAUAGCUUGACACUGAACAUUGAGCCUUGAUGUGUAGGAUAGGUGGGAGGCUUUGAAGUGUGGACGCCAGUCUGCAUGGAGCCGACCUUGAAAUACCACCCUUUAAUGUUUGAUGUUCUAACGUGGACCCGUUACCCGGGUUGCGGACAGUGUCUGGUGGGUAGUUUGACUGGGGCGGUCUCCUCCUAAAGAGUAACGGAGGAGCACGAAGGUUGGCUAAUCCUGGUCGGACAUCAGGAGGUUAGUGCAAUGGCAUAAGCCAGCUUGACUGCGAGCGUGACGGCGCGAGCAGGUGCGAAAGCAGGUCAUAGUGAUCCGGUGGUUCUGAAUGGAAGGGCCAUCGCUCAACGGAUAAAAGGUACUCCGGGGAUAACAGGCUGAUACCGCCCAAGAGUUCAUAUCGACGGCGGUGUUUGGCACCUCGAUGUCGGCUCAUCACAUCCUGGGGCUGAAGUAGGUCCCAAGGGUAUGGCUGUUCGCCAUUUAAAGUGGUACGCGAGCUGGGUUUAGAACGUCGUGAGACAGUUCGGUCCCUAUCUGCCGUGGGCGCUGGAGAACUGAGGGGGGCUGCUCCUAGUACGAGAGGACCGGAGUGGACGCAUCACUGGUGUUCGGGUUGUCAUGCCAAUGGCACUGCCCGGUAGCUAAAUGCGGAAGAGAUAAGUGCUGAAAGCAUCUAAGCACGAAACUUGCCCCGAGAUGAGUUCUCCCUGAGACUUUAGGUCUCCUGAAGGAACGUUGAAGACGACGACGUUGAUAGGCCGGGUGUGUAAGCGCAGCGAUGCGUUGAGCUAACCGGUACUAAUGAACCGUGAGGCUUAACCUUACAACGCCGAAG
rnacentral:rRNA from 1 species